ACGCACGCUGGCGGCGUGCUUCACACAUGCAAGUCGAACGGAAAGGCCCUGCUUGCAGGGUACUCGAGUGGCGAACGGGUGAGUAACACGUGGGUGAUCUGCCCUGCACUUCGGGAUAAGCCUGGGAAACUGGGUCUAAUACCGGAUAGGAGCCAUUUUUAGUGUGAUGGUUGGAAAGUUUUUUCGGUGUAGGAUGAGCUCGCGGCCUAUCAGCUUGUUGGUGGGGUAAUGGCCUACCAAGGCGGCGACGGGUAGCCGGCCUGAGAGGGUGGACGGCCACAUUGGGACUGAGAUACGGCCCAGACUCCUACGGGAGGCAGCAGUGGGGAAUAUUGCACAAUGGGCGCAAGCCUGAUGCAGCGACGCCGCGGGGGGGAUGACGGCCUUCGGGUUGUAAACUCCUUUCGCUAGGGACGAAGCUUUUUGUGACGGUACCUAGAGAAGAAGCACCGGCUAACUACGUG
rnacentral:rRNA from 1 species